UGGGGAAUUUUGGACAAUGGGCGAAAGCCUGAUCCAGCAAUGCCGCGUGUGUGAAGAAGGCCUUCGGGUUGUAAAGCACUUUUGUCCGGAAAGAAAUCCUUGGCUCUAAUACAGUCGGGGGAUGACGGUACCGGAAGAAUAAGCACCGGCUAACUACGUGCCAGCAGCCGCGGUAAUACGUAGGGUGCAAGCGUUAAUCGGAAUUACUGGGCGUAAAGCGUGCGCAGGCGGUUUUGUAAGACGGAUGUGAAAUCCCCGGGCUUAACCUGGGAACUGCAUUCGUGACUGCAAGGCUAGAGUAUGGCAGAGGGGGGUAGAAUUCCACGUGUAGCAGUGAAAUGCGUAGAGAUGUGGAGGAAUACCGAUGGCGAAGGCAGCCCCCUGGGCCAAUACUGACGCUCAUGCACGAAAGCGUGGGGAGCAAACAGGAUUAGAUACCCUGGUAGUCCACGCCCUAAACGAUGUCAACUAGUUGUUGGGGAUUCAUUUCCUUAGUAACGUAGCUAACGCGUGAAGUUGACCGCCUGGGGAGUACGGUCGCAAGAUUAAAGCUCAAAGGAAUUGAC
rnacentral:rRNA from 1 species